CUGGCUCAGAUUGAACGCUGGCGGCAGGCCUAACACAUGCAAGUCGAGCGGUAGAGAGAAGCUUGCUUCUCUUGAGAGCGGCGGACGGGUGAGUAAUACCUAGGAAUCUGCCUGAUAGUGGGGGAUAACGUUCGGAAACGGACGCUAAUACCGCAUACGUCCUACGGGAGAAAGCAGGGGACCUUCGGGCCUUGCGCUAUCAGAUGAGCCUAGGUCGGAUUAGCUAGUUGGUGAGGUAAUGGCUCACCAAGGCUACGAUCCGUAACUGGUCUGAGAGGAUGAUCAGUCACACUGGAACUGAGACACGGUCCAGACUCCUACGGGAGGCAGCAGUGGGGAAUAUUGGACAAUGGGCGAAAGCCUGAUCCAGCCAUGCCGCGUGUGUGAAGAAGGUCUUCGGAUUGUAAAGCACUUUAAGUUGGGAGGAAGG
rnacentral:rRNA from 1 species